UUGUUCGGACUUACUGGGCGUAAAGCUCGCGUCGGCGGCUUUGUAAGUUAGCGUUGAAAGCCCGGAGCUCAACUCCGGAAGUGCCUUUAAGACUGCAUCGCUAGAAUCAUGGAGAGGUGAGUGGAAUUCCGAGUGUAGAGGUGAAAUUCGUAGAUAUUCGGAAGAACACCAGUGGCGAAGGCGACUCACUGGACAUGUAUUGACGCUGAGGUGCGAAAGCGUGGGGAGCAAACAGG
rnacentral:rRNA from 1 species